GUGUGUGUGUGUGUGAAUGUCUGUGCCAUUAGUGGGUACCUAUGUAUGUAUUAAGUUUGUGUGCCUGUGGGUUCCCAUGCACGUGCCUUUAUGUUUGUGUGUGUGUGAAUUUGUGUGUGCCUGUGUCUGGAUGUGUAUAUGCUUGUGUAUGUCCAUGCAAGCAGGUACCGUGUGAGGGAAGUGUUUAUAUGUAUGCAGUCACAUGUUCCUGUGCUUUCAAAUGCUCAUCUAUGUGUUCGGCCCUGGCCCGAGACAUCCAUGCUCCAAAAGACGCAGUCCUGCUCUCCCAGACCCCCUUCCCCAUGUCUUUCGGCAGCAGCUGCCCAGCCGAGCCAAGGCCAAAAGAAAGAAGACAGAGUCCACCUGAAAGGCCUGGGAGGAGUUUCUCUGGACUAACUCACAGUGUGUAGGUGUGAGAUGUAAAUGCCCUGCGUGGAAGGGAAGAAAGGCAGAAGGAAGUGGGGUGGGGUCGGGAGUGGGGACAAAAUAGGGCUUGGUGCGCUGGUCGUCUGUCCUUCAGAUUCCUAUGAGAAAGUUUAUGUCCCCAUGGAGAAAGUUCCUUGGCUGGCUGUGGCAGUGUACAGCUGUGAUCCCAGCAAGGAGUCAAGAGGCCAGCCUGGUCUACAUAGUAAAUGCCAGGCUAGACCUUCUGUGGCUUCAAGGCAUAAGCUUCCAAACCUGGAUUUUCCAAAAGUUAAUUUGAAAAGAUUCAAGUGAGUGCUGGAGAUAAAGCUCAAUAUUUAAGAGCGGUCGCUGCUCUUGCAGAGGACAUAGGUCCAGUUCCCAGCACCCACAUGGUGGCUCACAACCACCUGCCACUCAGAUUCCAGGAAAUCUGACAUUCUCUUCUGGCCUCCACAGGCGCAUGGUACACGCCCCUCUGUUCAGGUACAACAUGUACACUAAAUAAAUAAAUAUUUUAAAAGCGAUUUAAGGGGCUGGGGAAGUUCAACAGGAAUGUUACUCAGCCCUUCUUGGCUCUCUGCCCUGGCAUCUUCACCAGCCAGCAGACAGACAGACAGACAGCAAAGUUGACCUGCUGUGUGCAGCGGCCCCGGGGUGGCUUCCUUGUGUUCGCCAUCUCUGCCCACCGCCCCUCCACGCUGCCUCUGCACAGCCUGCCUCCUCCUCCUGCUGAGAUCCCCAGCCUUUUUACUUCCUCUUUCCUCUCCAGGCUUGAGCUAGAGAGUAAACAGCGUUCCCCACGGCCAGCAGCAGGGGCUGCAGAUUCUCCUAACUCCCUCCCGGAUCCAGUUCACCCUCCUCUAGCCCGAAGCCGACCAGAAUGCUUGAGUUACUAUAUGUGGCAGUUAGGGACCCCGAGUGCUGGUGUCUAGAGAUCGCCCAAAUCUGCAAGACAGAGCGAUUCCCCCCCUGGUCCUCGCAAGUCAGUAAUUCCAAAAGAGGCGCUAGGGUAUUUUGUUUGUCCUCGAGUCUGUUUUGACAACCAGUUCGUUCAAGGCCCUGCACUCUGACCCAGCCGGUCUUGCCAGGGUCUCCAUAGCACCACUCACUCCUGCCUGCUGUUCUCUCCCUGACCUCUUGAGAGCUAAGGAGCUGUUUGAGAGGGAAGUUGUCCCGGUCGGUCCGGACAAGGGAGAGGCCGCCCAGGGAGAGAAGCCAGCUGCUCGCAGAACUACCCGGUGGUGGUGUGGGGGGCUUGGGCUUCCGGAGUUGGGAUGGAAUGACCUUUCCACCGCCAUCAGAGGGGCUGCAGGUUCUGCUAACUCUGCUUCCCCGGAGCUGAAGGGCUCCCUCCCCAGUCUGGUUUGCCCUUCUGUAGCCAGAAACCAACCAGGCUAAUUGAGCAGCCUCACAGUGGAUGGCGGUGGCUAGGGAGGGCCCGAGCCGGCCCUGUGUGCGGCCGCCAUGCCAGUGCCCACCCCACAGUAAUGUGCACGGAGGCCAGGGGAUGGUCUGUAUCUGAGUCUGUUGUUUCUAACCCCAGGCCAUGACAGCUUUGGAGGAGGCAGAGGGUCUAGCUAAUAUUGCUCAUGUUCUUUGGCCCUGGGCUCUGAGAACAGGAAGUGAAAGCCCUGACUUGGGGGCACCCCGCAGGAGGUCAGGCUGCUCUUGGUACACCCCUUUCCACCCACCUCAGCCAGAUUCCUUGCGCCCAUUAAGCAGGUUUUAAGACCUCUGGUGGGUAAGAUGGGAUAAUGAUGAAAAACAAAACACUAAUUAAACCCAGUGAAGAGAAGGGAGGGAGAUGAUGCGGCUGAUCCCCAAGAAUAACUUAAAAUGACAAGACAAAAGAAAAAAAAAAAGCCUGGUGGUGCAGCCCUGCAGGAGGCUGAGGUCUGAGGACCAUGAGUUCAAGGUCUAAAGAGUGUGAUGCUGUUCUUGGUUGUCAACUUGACUACUUUUGGGAUUAACUAAAACCCAAAAAUGGAGGGGCAUACCUGUGAGGGACUUUUGACUAAUUUGAAGCAGG